rnacentral:rRNA from 1 species
AGAGUUUGAUCCUGGCUCAGGACGAACGCUGGCGGCACGCUUAACACAUGCAAGUCGAACGAGAGAAGAGGAGCUUGCUUUUCUGAUCUAGUGGCGGACGGGUGAGUAACACGUGAGCAAUCUGCCUUUCAGAGGGGGAUACCGAUUGGAAACGAUCGUUAAUACCGCAUAACAUAAUUGAACCGCAUGAUUUGAUUAUCAAAGAUUUAUCGCUGAAAGAUGAGCUCGCGUCUGAUUAGCUAGUUGGUAAGGUAACGGCUUACCAAGGCGACGAUCAGUAGCCGGACUGAGAGGUUGAUCGGCCACAUUGGGACUGAGACACGGCCCAGACUCCUACGGGAGGCAGCAGUGGGGAAUAUUGCACAAUGGAGGAAACUCUGAUGCAGCGAUGCCGCGUGAGGGAAGAAGGUUUUAGGAUUGUAAACCUCUGUCUUCAGGGACGAAAAAAGACGGUACCUGAGGAGGAAGCUCCGGCUAACUACGUGCCAGCAGCCGCGGUAAUACGUAGGGAGCUAGCGUUGUCCGGAAUUACUGGGUGUAAAGGGAGCGUAGGCGGGAUCGCAAGUCAGAUGUGAAAACUAUGGGCUUAACCCAUAAACUGCAUUUGAAACUGUGGUUCUUGAGUGAAGUAGAGGUAAGCGGAAUUCCUAGUGUAGCGGUGAAAUGCGUAGAUAUUAGGAGGAACAUCAGUGGCGAAGGCGGCUUACUGGGCUUUAACUGACGCUGAGGCUCGAAAGCGUGGGGAGCAAACAGGAUUAGAUACCCUGGUAGUCCACGCCGUAAACGAUGAUUACUAGGUGUGGGGGGACUGACCCCUUCCGUGCCGCAGCAAACGCAAUAAGUAAUCCACCUGGGGAGUACGACCGCAAGGUUGAAACUCAAAGGAAUUGACGGGGGCCCGCACAAGCAGUGGAGUAUGUGGAUUAAUUCGAAGCAACGCGAAGAACCUUACCAGGUCUUGACAUCGUAUGCAUAGCUCAGAGAUGAGUGAAAUCUCUUCGGAGACAUAUAGACAGGUGGUGCAUGGUUGUCGUCAGCUCGUGUCGUGAGAUGUUGGGUUAAGUCCCGCAACGAGCGCAACCCUUACUGUUAGUUGCUACGCAAGAGCACUCUAGCAGGACUGCCGUUGACAAAACGGAGGAAGGUGGGGAUGACGUCAAAUCAUCAUGCCCCUUAUGACCUGGGCCUCACACGUACUACAAUGGCUGUCAUCAGAGGGAAGCAAAGCCGCGAGGUGGAGCGAACCCCUAAAAGCAGUCUUAGUUCGGAUUGUAGGCUGCAACCCGCCUACAUGAAGUCGGAAUUGCUAGUAAUCGCAGAUCAGCAUGCUGCGGUGAAUACGUUCCCGGGCCUUGUACACACCGCCCGUCACGCCAUGGGAGUCGGUAACACCCGAAGCCUGUAGUCUAACCGCAAGGAGGACGCAGUCGAAGGUGGGAUUGAUGACUGGGGUGAAGUCGUAACAAGGUA